rnacentral:rRNA from 1 species
GAUGAACGCUGGCGGCGUGCCUAAUACAUGCAAGUCGAGCGAACGGACGAGAAGCUUGCUUCUCUGAUGUUAGCGGCGGACGGGUGAGUAACACGUGGAUAACCUACCUAUAAGACUGGGAUAACUUCGGGAGACCGGAGCUAGUACCGGAUAAUAUUUUGAACCGCAUGGUUCAAAAGUGAAAGACGGUCUUGCUGUCACUUAUAGAUGGAUCCGCGCUGCAUUAGCUAGUUGUUAAGGUAACGGCUUACCAAGGCAACGAUGCAUAGCCGACCUGAGAGGGUGAUCGGCCACACGGGAACUGAGACACGGUCCAGACUCCUACGGGAGGCAGCAGUAGGGAAUCUUCCGCAAUGGGCGAAAGCCUGACGGAGCAACGCCGCGUGAGUGAUGAAGGUCUUCGGAUCGUAAAACUCUGUUAUUAGGGAAGAACAUAUGUGUAAGUAACUGUGCACAUCUUGACGGUACCUAAUCAGAAAGCCACGGCUAACUACGUG